UUAUAGGCACUACUGAAUUUACAGUUUUUGAAUCCUGCUGGAAUUGACCUUACGACAGCGGCUUCUAAGACACGCCCCCUGAUAUCAAGGGAGCGAACUCUGUCUAUGUCCGUCAAACAAACGAGGAAGUAAUGGCGUCUCGCGUCGUUUCGCUUUCCGAUAUUCCUGACAAAUUAUCAUAAAUGUGACAUUACAAUGCGAAAAAAAAUAGAAGUCAAAGGAAUUUGUAACUGGCUGCUACAUCGGAAGGCUCGAUAUAUCUUUAGAAAAUGACGAUAUCUAACAUUUACGGGGUGAAAUCUAUCCAAGUCAGAGAAAAUCGGAUAGCCGCCAUGUUGUCAAUAUUGACAUCGAUAAAAAUGAAAAGCGUGUGUGUGACGCAUACUGUAAAUGCAAACAAGGAAAUUGUGGAACAUGUUCACACACUCUGGCUGUAAAAGUAGACCUGGGAGGAAAAGUGCCCCCGGUAUGACUCGAACUCACAACCACCAGAACACUAGCCCGGCACUCUAACCAACUAAGCUGACCGGGCAGCUGGUUCUAACCCACACACACUACCCUCCCCCCAUUUACCGGUUAAGGCUGGUGGAGGGUCUCCUGCUAUUUACCGUUGACACCAUUAAAGUAUUCUGAUUGAUGGAGAUAAGGAAGUCCCCUUAUUAUUGUCUUCAACAAGCCUACCGCCACAGGGGACCUAGCAUAAGACCGGAAACCGCCCCCCCCCCCCCCCCCACACACACAUGAUAUUUGCCAGUCCAGGCAAUGUCAACCACAAGAGAAAACCAGUGAUGACAAGUUUUACAAAUAAUCGGAAAGUGUGGUCUUUUGAAGAGAGUUCUUGAAGUUGUUCAGCAUGUUGUUUUGAUGGAUUCUUAGAAGGAUGUACCUCUAUGAUGUUAGCUUCAGUUCUGGAGUAUAACACCAGUUGUUGCAUAUUUAAUAUCAGAUUUAUUAAAUACAUUGUUGUUUUGCAAACAUUACUUAAACUUUGAUAUUUCUUUGGUGUUUAUGUAUGAUAUUGUAGGUGAAUAUCUCUUUAUUGCAAUGGCAAAUAUAUUUUAAAAUAUA